GAUGAUUAGUAUUAUAUUUUAUAUAGAUACUGCCUUCAAUUUAAAGGAUCUCUAUUUCUUUAUGUAGGGAAAGAAGGGACUGUAAAAAAACUUGGCGAAAUUACUAUGUUAUUUAAAGAAAUUCCGAACAUGAGUCAUUUUCUUUGGAAGGAUCUAGAUUCCAAUAACACCAAGCCCAACUCGCGUGUUUCAUGGACGCCAUUCCCAGGCUCCCCUGAAUUAGCCAGACUUAAUAUAGUUCCUAAUAUGCAUGGGCAAGGCUUUGUGCAUUUUAACCCUGAUCUACCCGUGCAAACUCAGCCGAAGCCAGCGCCAGCGCACUUCCAAGGGGAUGCCAGAGCGGCAAACACUUUGAUACCAAGAGAUUCUCAAGAUCAGAGAAGUGAAAAGUACGAGAGAAAUCUAAAAAGUGCCUACAAACCG